GGUUUUUGUUCGUGCAGCAGAUCCGCGUGUUGUCGGGCCGGCACCACCACCGUCAAGUGAGCUAAAUGUGUAAGCCCUAUUAUUAUAAUAAAUAACUGGUAUCUAUAUGCAUGUAUGUGUAUUAUACACACACUUAAAGAGAUUACUUAAACCGUAUGCACGGCCGUAGUUAUAUCCGCAUCGUGAUAUAUAUGUAUAUACGUAUAGUAAUUCGCAUUGUACUACGAGUAGGUAUAAAAAUAUUAUAAUCUACACGAUAUUGUAUUCGUAUUAUAUUGUAGCGCAUAAUGUAGGCAUUGUUUUUAUAUUUAACAAUUAACGCGCGAUCGCGCCAUUGUCUUUUGGUAAAUAAUUUACUAUAUAUUCUGGGUCGGGCCGACCCGAUGUACUCUAGACCAGCAAUAGCCGGUGAGACCGUAUUGCAAUGUAUGCGAGGCGCCGUUUUCGAUACACGCAAAGCAGCCCAUUUCUUUUUACAUUGUAUAUUUUUUUUUUUAAUUAGCGUAAAGAAAAUGUACGACGUUUAACGCGAAGUACAACAUAGCGCGAUUUCCUCAGAAGAGGUUAAUUUAAGUCAAUUUGAUUUCUGUUUUUUUUUUUUUUUAACCAUUAUGGAAUCGGUUAAGCUUUAUUUUAAAAUCGUUUUUAAUUUGUUACCCCUACUCCAUACACUUUAAAUAUAAGUAUACACUUUUCUUUUUAGAACAAAAACACUUAUUUUUGAACACAUAUUUUAAUAGAAAAUAUUUUUUUUAGAACUUUUAAUAUGCAUAACACUAUAUAUAGCUAUAUAAUAUCAAAUUUACUGUUUAUAAUGAGUUAUAACCGUUUAAUGUUUAGACUGAGGUAGUAUAGAGUGCAACCAUGCAAUUUAUUACCCUCCCCUACUCCUCCAGUCAAAACCUAUACCUAUUUAUGGUAUAUGGAGUAGGGGCAAAAAAUUUAAAACGGUUUUAAAAUAAAGCUUUAACCGAUACCAUAAUGAUUAAAAAAAAAAAAAACAGAAACCAAAUUCACUUAAAAUCCUCUGAGAAAAUUGCUGGUAUAUGAUCACCCUAUUUAUAUUAUACUAUAGUAUAUUACGAGUAUAAUAUGUUAUUUGUAAUAUAUUAACUGUUCCGUUCAGCUUUUCCCAUGCACUGCAGUAUUAAACGGUCCAGUGUUUUCUGAGGUUUGCCAUUACCGUAAAUACAUUGAAUUUCACAUUUAACGCGUGGAAUGCAUAGUUCUUAUCUUAUCAAAACUGUUUUACCAUCCGCAAACAUACAUAUAAAAAUAUUCGAUUUUCGUGGGCCGAAAUGAAAUUCAUGCGUGCGUGACCCGCCUUGUAGUAUCAGCUUUUAUGGGUUGAAAAACAAAGCUACAAACCCUCCAUGAGUCUGAAGGAAUAUAUAUAGCAUAUGCGCAAAAUCGAUACCAAUUAUUGGGUCGGUUGUUUUUGAGCUUGUUGAUCACGAACGAACGAACGAACAAACCAACGUUUAUUAUUAUUAUGUAGCAAUAAUGUAUUAUUUCGCAUAUGACGUAAAAAAAAAAAAAUAACAAGCAGCAAUCUCAAUCUAACAAUAGUCAUAAAUAUGUACUAACUGUAAUUAUAUGUAAUACAAAUUUAUAUUUUAUAAUUACUACGACAAUUAUUGAUCGAUUCUGAGCGUUUAGAAAACUGUACAUAUUGAGUAUAUAUUGAAAUGUAUAUACUCAUAUUUUCUUAAAUUUAAGCCAUUUCCGCAGUAAAAUUCAAAAAUAAUAAAAGUUGAUAUAAUACUGGCUCUCGGGUAUUAUAGACCACUGUUUUAUAUGUGUAUAUAGUUGGAAACAUAAAAUUUUUAAGUCAGUUUAUAGUUUAUACGCAACGAUAAACUAUUAAAAACAAAAAAAAAACGAUUCUGAGCGAAGAAGUAUAAAUUAUAAUAGCAGCUAUAGCAGUAUUAUUGGUUGUUUUUGACCAGUGCGUAGCCAAGGUAACUUAGAAAUGAAAACAAAAAUAAAAACAGAUGUAUCGAUAUUUUGUUGUUAGUUUUUUGAAUUUCACGUUGGUUUCCAGUUUUGUUCUCUAGUUCAGCGUUUCUCAAAUUGUGAGUCACGACCCACUGGUGAGUCCCGAGUCAAUUAUUGAUGCGUCGCAAAAAUUGUUUUGAAUUUUAAAGAUUUCAAGAAAUUUAAUUUUUCUAAGCGGAGCGAGACAUGUAUUGGUUUCAUAACGAUGUUUAUUUUUUUUAUUUGUAAACAACUUUUCUAUCAGCAAUAUUUUGCUAAGAUUUUCACACCGUAGCAGUUUUUCUGAAAGGAAAUCCGACUGGUGUGGUACUUUAGGGAGGUCGCCUUUUGAUUUUAGUUGAAAGAUAUAGAUUACGCAUAAUUAAUAGUAGUUAUUUAAUGUUGAUUGCAAACGCACCGCAAAUAAACAAUCGUGUUUUGUUAUGAAAUUAGAACUCGCAAUAAAUUUUUUUGUGCGUGAUAAAAUAAUAACGCUCGUGAGUAUAAUGCAAAUAGAUAAUAUUAUAGGUUAUCUAUUCUACCUAUAAUUAUUACAAAUUAAAUUAUAAUACAAAUUAAUUUAUAAUAUUUAAAUACUAAACAAUUAAUGUAUAUUUCUGUAUUGUGUUUUAAUUAAGCAGAUAUACAAUUUAUUUGCAAAUUAUGAAACUGGAUUGAAAAAUAACUCUUUUAUAAAUACAUACAAAAUCAAUAUAAUCACAUUUGUAUACAAUUUAAAAAUACUUAAAUUGAUGUAUGGUGUUUAUUUUACUAUAUAUUUUACUCUGACAAUAUAUUUACUUUUUAACCUUAUAUAUUUAUCGUUUUCAUUUUCAAUAUUUAUUUUCAUGGAUAAAUCAUUUAAAACAAUUUUUUUGAAAAGCUUAUCAGUUAGAUUAAAAUGUAUAGUUGAUAAUGUACGGUUUUCUAAUUCUUUUUCGCUUAUUACAGAACAUUGUGAUUCUAUUGGGUCGACUAUAAAUAUUUUUUGUUCUUCAAUAAUCUUAUUAACAAUUAUUGGAAAAAAAUAUCUAGAAUAUUUAAUGGAGAAUUUUAUUUCUUGCAAGUAAUUUUCAUAUUUGAAACAACUGAAACUGUCUAAUAGAUCAUGCAUUUUAACAAACAUAGGACAAACAUCAAUAAAUAAUAAACAUCAACAUAAUGUUCCUCCUAAACAAUUAAAGAACUAUUUUUAAGGAACAACUAUAUGUCAUCACGGUAAUGUGAAUUAGCAAUGUUUUUGUUGGAACACAAUUUCAACAUAGCGGCAAUGAUUUGCAAUGAUUUUGUCAUUCAUUGCAGAUUGCAGGGUCUUCAUUACACACAAAAUUAAAAAAAACGUACAAGAUUUCUGCUGCAAUAGUUUAGUACAAUAAUAUAGGUACCUAAAUAAUUAUCGUGUACAGUGUAUUGUGAACAAUAUUUUACUAACAUAAUAGAAGCUGGUAAAUGGUUUCCAUGUUUAAUUUAUACAAAAACAGUAACUAUACGGCACGUAUUUUAUAGUGUACUUACAAACGCACACACGCACACACACAGCAUGUACCUAAUAUCCGCGUUAAGUAAACCAGUAAACGAGCGGUAUUUAUAGGAUUACAUAUUAUUAUAGAUAGUACGGAAUGCGUGAGGGAUGGGGAAGCAACCCUACAUAACCGCAUUCAGUUGGCUCCCCUAUUCAAAUUCAUAUUUUAUUUAGCGUAUAAUUUGAUUAUCAUACAUAUAUUGGUAUACAAUAUAAUAUACGAUGUUAUCAGGGCUCGGAGUUUUUAGUACUUAAAAUCCACAAAAAAGCCUCGAAAAAAGCGCUUAAAGAUAUUUAAAAAAGCAUAAAACGUUAGAGGGGUUAAAUGUCCCCUUUCUAAUGGCUCUAACUUAUAAUAAAUACAAUUUCUAACAUUAGAAAAAUGUUAAUUUAUACAAGUUUGUAGAGCCGUUAGAUGGAAAUCUUUUAAAACUCUACAAUUUUUGCUUUUUUUUAAAUAUUUUUUAGGGCUUUUAAUGUUUUUAAGCGAUUUUUUUGUGAAUUUAAAGUGCUAAUAAUCCUUAGCACCAGCUGGUUAUAUUAUGUAUUAUUUUCUCAUUUUAUACAGCGUGCAUUAUAGUAUUAUAAUGCUAUAUGAUUUAAUCAUAUUUUUUUUCUUUAUAAUUAUACUUAAUCCAUAUAAUACGACUGUUAUAAUUAUAUUAACUGCUGAUAUGAUAUAUGGUUAUAUAUUAUAAUUGUUAUCGUUUUGCUACCGAUCUAUUAAGACAUCUGCAUAUUAUAUUGAAACUAUCGCCCAUAAUCAAGUACCAAUACACAGUAUAUUUUAAAAUAACAAAUAAUAUACCUACAUACUUAUAACCUAUUACUUAAUAACUAACGUGUCGUACGAUAAAACCUACGCAAAUACGGAUAUACAGUAUAAGAUACUCAUUGUAAUAAUAAGUAUAUAAGUAUUAAAUAAGAUGAUAAAUCGCACGAUGUAAGUAUGAUUGUUAUAUUACAAACAUUUUAUAUUUUAUUGCAAAUAAAAUUGCAUAGAAAAAGAGGGGAACCUUGAAUAUUUGCGGAACGAACAUAUAAUGUAUAUUUAUUUCAUUAUUUAUAUAAUAUAAAUUAGGUAUACCUAUACACAAUCACUAUAUGAGAUCAGUCAAUUUUAGUUUAUAUAGAAGUGCAAUAUAUAAAUAUAUUUGAUAUAGUUUGAUACGUAAAAAAGCUAUCCUAGGAUAAUGAGGACGGGUGCAGCCACUGUUGUUGUUGAGAAGUUGGGAAGGUAGGAUAUAGAAGAGAAAUUACUAUAAUUGCUUAUUAAAAACGAUUCUGAGCCGAUUUCAGUUUAUAAUUUUGCUUUUUCAACAAUACAAUAUAUGGUAUUAUGUCAUAUUAUGGUAAAAUGAUAAAAACAAUGUGCGUUUACAUGACAACAAUGAUUGUUUAAAAAAUAUUAAAAUAAUAAAACCUCAAUAAUAACAAAAAAUAAAUAAAAACGGUUUCCACUGAUAACCUUAUUUCAAAUCGUUCAAUCUUUUUUAACCUAAAGAACCAGGUUUUCCUAUUUAUCUCGAAUACUAAUGGAAAUUUCAAAAAAAUACCUCUUUUCCAGAGAACACCAUCCAGAGAACAUUUCCUUUCAGAAAAGGCUUUUUGGUAGAAAAAAAUGUUUGCAUAAAAAAAAAAAUAUAAUAACAAAUAUCAUUGUAAAACUAAUACAUUCAUCGCUCCGCUCAGAAUCUAAAAACAAAAUUAAUUAUUCAUAAUAUGCGUAUGCAAUUCAUAUACCCUAACAGCACGAGGAUGUAUAUAUGGGCUGUAAAUUAGAUCCCUACAAUCAUCCUGUAUGUAUCCUAUGAUUUUAGUAAAACCAUGCGCUAUAUAUCCCAGGACUUCCCAAAGCAUCCAUAGAACAUCCUUCAAUGAUCCUCAUGUCCAAAAUUUUGCUUAUAAAAACCUUCGGAAUGUCCCACAUAGGAUUAAGAAUAUUGAUUCUCAUCGCAUCCUAUUCGUAAACUAUAAAUAUCCAGCUAGUAACCUGGGUGCUUCCUAUAUAUAUCCAGUUAAUUGCCUGAGUUAGUCCCAAGUAUUUUCAUUAAAUUCAUAGAAUACAAUAAAAUUUAAAUUAUUCGUCUAUAAUUGAAAAUAUAGUUCACAUAAUGUAUUUUAUAACAGAAUAAUUUUUAGGUUUUCAAUAAAAUAAAAUAAAUCAAUUAAUAGAAAAAAAACAACACAAGAGCUUUAUUAAUUGAAAUGUUACAAAACAAUUAUUAUUUAUCGCGUAUUUUUAAUUUAUUUGUUUUAAAACGAUUUCAAAAUUCAUCAUUUGGCAUAUCGUUAAAGCGUUCUGAGGUAAGCCUGAUUUACUAUUAUGUUGCUUCUUUUUUUUCGCACAUUCGUAGUCGCAAUCUAUAUCAGUUUCUUUUUCUGCUCUCUUCAUAUCAAAUUUGCAAUUAUCAAAUUGAUCUAUGAAACAUAAUUAAAUAUUUUAUUUCAUAUUAUUUAUGCAAUUUUUUUGUUAUUAUUAAAAAGUAUUUUUAUAUAUGAAUGAGUCAAUAAUAGAUAUAAUUCGACUAUAAUAUAUUUACAUAACCUAGAAAAAAAAAUUACUUAUUGUAGUUUUUUUGUAAUUUGUACGAAAUUAAUUUGUUAUUAAUUCAUUUUAUUUUAUAAUACCUAUAUAAAAUAGUAUUAUAUAUUUAUAUACAAUGUAGUGAUUGCACCCGUCCUCAUAAUCCUAGGACGUUUUUUUUCAAUUACUUAUUUUAUUUGUCGCAUGUAAUUUUCAAAUCAAAACGAACUAAUACUAUCCAAACGUCCGUGUAAUUCUACAUCAUUAGCAAUAUUAAUCCAGUAUAUUAUGAGAGAUAUAGAGUGUUGGCCAUAAAUAAUAUUGAAAUAAGUAACAAAAUAUUUCAAUAAUUCUCUAGCACAAUUCAAUGUUUCACAAAACUGUUAUAGCUACAUGUUAUGAUAAAAAAUUAAGGUAUAUUUUAGAUAAUAAAAAUGGUUUUAAAACAACUGCAGGUCCCGUAUACAUUAAGAAUUGUCUAAAAUCAAUAUCUUUCCAUACUUUAAAGUUUAUUAAAAACUUAUUUUUUACUAAAACCAGUCAAAUUCAAAUUUGUUUAAUUAUUUAAUUAAUUAUUAAUUUACUCACAUUUUACUGAGGGGGGAGGCAAACAAAAUUCUAGGGACAUUCAAUACAUUCAGGGAUAUUCGUAAUUGCUAUGCAAAUAAAGCCGACGACCGUGGUCUUCCUUUGCCUUUUGAACCCGUUUGCCUCCUUUUAUUUCCGGUUUUUUCCAUUUGUUGAUUAAAAUCAUAGGAAAAUCGAAAAAAUUACCUUCCUAAAAGUACCUCCCCAGUCAGAUUUUCUUUUAGAAAAGUUGAAUAAAAAAUACAAUAAAAAAUCGGAGCAAGAUUUCUGGUAGAAAAGUUACGCACAGAUAAAAAAAAAAAGAAUAAACAUCUUUUUAAAGCCAUUAUAAGCCUCUUCCCUCCACUCAGAAUCUAAAAACUCAAUUCCAAUCUACCAUAUAUAAAUAUUAAAAUGAGAAUCUUUGAUGCCAAUUAUAUCGGAAACCGCAUUCAUCCGAUAGUCACGAUUUUUUUUUUUUAAUCAAAAGAGAAAUUAUAUAGAUAUGGUAUUAUAAUAAUAAUAAUAAUAAUAAUAAUAAUAAUAAUAAUUUUAAUUUUGAAUGGUCAACAAAAUUAAAAUUGGCAACUCUGGGUGGGAUAUAACUGGUAUAAUGGUAUAUAUAUAAAAUGGCUAUCUUGGAUUUUCGAUAAAUGAUUUUUUUUAUUUUUCGUUUUAAUAAAAAUAUAAAAUAGAGGAAUACUAAAACGCAGGAUCUAGAAACUAUUUUAUUACAAGAAUAAAAAACUUAAAAAUAUUUAAUAGAGCACAAAUUAUUUCCGGUGUCAAAUCUUUAUAUUACAAAUUCGUAUUAUAUAUUUGGUUUUAGGGAAGAAAAGAUUAAGGAUAAUUUUGUGUAGUUUUCAAUACAAUAGCAAAUAUAAUUUUGAAAAUUACUAAAUUGCAUGAUAUAUUAUUAUAUGGCAUGCCUUUUUUUCACCAAAAAGUACAUUAUAAUAAUUAAUAUAUAGUAACUUGAAACAUUUGAAACAAGAGUAAAAAUUAUAAAAGACACAAUUAUAAAUAAAAUAAUUUCAAAAAUUAACUUAAGCUUUUCUUGCUCGGAGAUCAAAAAAAAAUAUAUAUAUAUUAUAAUUAAACACUUGAAAAAUCAAUGGUACAAUAAUAAUGUCACUAUGAACACGCGUUAUACAACAUAUUUAUCAGGGAAAAAAAAAAUUCACCUUCAAAUAUAUUUGCUAUCUAAUGGCAUUUCAUUAUAUAAAUAUAAUUCCUGUAUUAUAAAUCCGCUACUGCAAAAAACCAAUGUCAGUAUAUUAAAUAUUGUAAUAGUGUUACGGGUAUGUGUAUAUUAGGUAUUUAUUUAAUAUUUUAAUAUGAUGGCAAAUGUUUGUAUAUAGAUAAAAUUGAACACGGAGUAUGAUAUAGGUACUCGAAAGAGAUUAUUUUUCGUAAUUGCCUAUAGGUAUAUAGGUACCUAUAAUCACACAGUUCGACGUCCUACAGAGAACUUCGAAGAACUCCAAAAAAAAAAAAAAAAUUAUAAUAAUAAUAAUCUAAAUAAAUAAUUCCUGCAAACAUAAUUGUGUAUACAUAUAAUACUAUAAUAUCUUGAUACUAAGUAAUUGCAGUAUAUAAUAUCAGAAAAUUGAUUUACAAAUAUAUAAAACAUAGCUUAGCUGUGCAAUUUAUUGUCGCUCUCAGCACCUAUUAUAAAUCUUUAAAUAAAUAUAUACAUAGGUACUGCACCUACAUAUUUGCAGUUUUCACUUGUUCUUGUCACGGUGUCAGUUUUAAUAGCAUACCUAAUUUAUACUUUUGAUAUGUACUCGUAUAUAUUUAUGUAUAUAUGUGUACGCUAACUGGAUUACCCGGCUUCCGCUGUGAACAGUUUUGUAACUCGAUUUUAUAUUCUGAGUGGAACGAAGAAGCUUAUAGUUUUACAUAGAUGUUUAUUUAUUAAUUUUUAUUUUUUUUUUUAUCUGUGCGCAACUUUUAUGCUGGAAGACUUGCUCAGAUUUUUAAAUUAUAGGUAUUAGUAAAUUGUAUUACGGUUUUUUUUUUUUUUUUUUUGAUAGCAAUUUUUCUGAAAAGAAAAUUUACUGAGAAGGUACUUUAGAGAGGUCAUUUUCGAUUUUCCUAAAUGAUUUCCAGCAAAUGUAAAAAACCGGGAUAAAACAUGGCAAAACCAGGAAAAACUUGGGGAAAAUGGGAAAAUUUGGUACAACAUUAAACAAAUAUUAUUAAAGAAAAUAUAAUAAAAUCUGUUUAAUUAUUUUACUAUAAAACGACAUAUAUUGUUAACAAAGUAUCAUUAUAAACUGAACUCUGCUCAGAAUCGUUUUUUUUUUGUAAGCAUUGUUUUAAUGUUGUUUACAGGUUAGAUUAGGAUACAUUAAAUUAUCCAUAACAGUGGCUUCACCCGUUCCCAUUAUACGGAUAUAAUAACUAUACUUUCUUCUUACUUACUUCUUUAAUAUCAAUUAUUUACCAAACAAAAUAAUUAAACUGUACAGUUCUGUGGGUAUUUUUCGGUCUACUCUCAAUAAAUUUAUAAUGAAAUAACGAAAUUUAGUCGAAAAGUGGAACACACAAACAAUAUACAAUAAACUAUAUUGUGUAUAUACAUAUGUAACUGUCAACAACCCAUCCUAACGCCACUACAUUAAGAUAGUAUAAUAAUGUACCUAUACUAUUAUAAUUUUUUUUAUAUAUAAAUUAACAGAAAUCCAUAUUACAAUUUAUAUAUUUUGGACUUGUGGGCUUAUAGCUGUAACUGUAACUGUCCUGACUCUACAUUGCCCGUGUGUUGUAACAACCUAACCUAUAUAAACCAAUCAGGAACACUCAUAUACGUUAAGAAAUAACUUUUCAAUUUUUAUACUUUUUACCCUUUUUAACAUUCUUAGGUGUUAAAUUUUGAAAAAUAUUUUCUUAGCGGAUCCCUACAUCAUAAAACGAAACUACUGACCAAAUUUCAUAUUCAUAACUUCAGCGGUUCCGACUAAACGAUAAUGAAUCAGUCAGUCAGUUAGGACUACUGUAUGUUAUUUUUAUAUAUAAAUAAACUUUGCAUAACUAACAGGCUAAAGAAAAAAUAGACGCGUUUGAGAAAUUCAAUAAAAUGUGUUCACCUACUCAGGGCAAAUAACUUGAUUUCUAACGAACUUAGCAAGUAUAGCGAGAAUAACGUUAAGGGGCUAAUAAAUAUGGUACGGCCAUUCGAUCUCUAUGAAUAUUUUAUAAUCGGGCACUCCUCUGAGGGAGUUAAAUAACAAACAACAAAGUAAAUUAGUUUAGGGAUUCCAGAUUUGUUUAUCUUAAAUACUGAGCAUUUCAAAUCAUAAUUAAAACUGGCAGAUGGUACAACAAACAAUAGAGGGGAGAGGGUGAUAAAACUAGGCCAAAAAUAGUCUGUAACUCAAAAGUUAUCCAAUCAAAUUGACUAAUUUAUUUUCAGAUAAUUUUUUUAUACCUAAAAUAACGUUGAUACCCAAAUGGCAUGCAUUAAAAUAGUUAAAAAUUGAAUUAGUUACUUCGUAAUUUGUCUAAAGAGAUAUUAUACUAAAGAUUCGUGAUAUCAUACGGCAGCUAUUAGCGGCUGCUGCUAGCCGUGCUAAUGCUAGCCGAUGUAGUAAACAAAGAAACGAAAAAGUUUUUAUCUUAUUAAUAAUUAUAAUGAUAAAUCUAUAUUUAUUUAAUGUAAAUAUAUUUUGAAGAUAUAACUAUUUGACAUACCUAGAUAUAAUUCUCAAUAGACUAUAAAUAUUAUAAAGCAUGAACUACGAAUGUAUAAAUAUAAGAACUACGAGUAUGUACAAUAAUUCGAGAUAGCGGAUGUCAUUUUAUUGAUAAUAUCAAUUAAUUCAUUAAUUAUAUCACCAAUACUGUAUUGUAUUAAUAUAAGAGCUCAACAUCAUGAUGCAACAUCGUGUCGUUUACUUGUUAAAUUUACAAAAAAACUAAACUAAAGACACCCUGUAUAUGUAACCUAGGAUAUUUCGGCAAAGCCGUUUCAAGAAGUAAGUUAUUUCGGCGCGAAUUUUAAUUUGACAAAUGUGUACUAGGUACCUAUUUUACAAGUUGUCACUAUCAUUCGUUAUUAAAUUUAACUUAAUAAAAUAAUAUAAACAAUACUUUACAAAGAAAGUAUAAAUAUUGAAAAAUAUUUCAAAUAUAAUCACAAUUUUAAAUAAUAUUGUAUAUCAUCAUCCAUAAUUAAAAUAACAGUGUGGAUUUUAUGGUGCCAACUGCGAAAAUCGUGGAAUAGAAUGUUGAUAAGUACCAAAUAAUCGUAAAACUAAAUUUGCGAGAGGUCAAAUCGUUUACGGCCGGGUCAUUAUCGAACAAUACCUACCCAUAUAUGAUAAGGUCAAUAAGAGUCCGAAAAACGAUUAUAUUUAUGAAUACCUAUACGCAUAUUAUUUAAAUACUCUACUAACUAUAUAUAAUAAAAAUAAUAAUAACCGUUGUUCUGGAUUCCAGAGUCUAGAAAGGUAAUCAAAAAAGACCAUAUGACUGUAUAGUGAUGCCUUUAAAAACAACAGAAUAUUCUACAAAAUUAAAGUCUUAUUUGAUACUAUACGUCAUUUAAAUACAAUCAUUCUUUCACAAAGUAUUCAAAAAAAAUGUUUUGGCAAUUUAAGAAACAAUAAGCAGCUCUAAAAUGUUACAUUAGGUACCAACUAUUAUAUUUGUCACCCAUAUUUUUGGGGGUGAAACGACUACUUAUUUUUGAUUUUAAAAUGGCAACCAAUAUUUAAAAAUUCCUUAGGUGGAUGAAAUGUUAUAGUUUAAAUACAUGUUGAUAUUGAUAUUUUUGAUUUUCGUCAACUCGUUAGUGAGAAAUUCAACUUUUAAGUUUAAGUAAGGGGUGAGUAGUGGAACAUUAUAUCCAAACGCUGUACACCAUGCCACCUGCAAACAAAUUAAUUUUAUUUAUUUUUCUAAUUUAUUUUAGUAAUUCUCAGUAAUAUAUUCAUAUGUAACUAUAAAUGGUAGUAUAAACAAUACACAUUAUUUAUAUUGCAGUUUAUAUUAUGACCACAAGUAAAUAACUAUCUGUGAAACGAAUAGGUAUACUUACCAUAUGUCCCACAACACUCUCAAUUCCUUAUAUCUACACCGUUAUACAACAUACAUCUCUCUUUCUCUGGGUCUGACACGCGUGGCUUUUUCCCUUUGAGGAACCCAUUGUUCAAGACUUAAAGUAUAAUGAGACCGAUUAUAUUGUAUGAUUCGGAGUGUUGGAUGGUUGAUAAAAAAAAUAGAACAAUGAUUAAAUAUAGUGAAGAUGAGAAUGUUUAGGUGAGGAUGAGUGGAAUGACGAGAAAAUAUAGGAUCAGGAACGAGUACAUAUUAUGAAAGAUAGCAUAAUUGUGUGAAUUCGAUAGAAUUGAGUAGUUUGGGCAGGAAAGAAGAAUCGGAAGCAGUAAUAAUGGUAAUGAAAAUAGACGCAGGGGAAGAUGGGAAGAAGAAGAUCUAAAAAUAGGGGGUUAAAUACGAUUGAGAAUGAUACAAGGACAGCCGAUGUAUGCGAGGAUAUGUGGGAAAUCGGGACAAAGUAGAAAUUGAGGACGAGCGUGGUCGAUUCCAGAAUUCAGAUAAAGGGAAUAAAGGCGAAGGAAAAUAAAAAUAAGAUAUUAUGGUAUGAAGGGUACAUGAUAUUUCAAAAUAAAUGUUGGAGUAAAAAUUGUUAUAAUAGUUACCACCAUCGGAAAAUAAUAUAAUUCGUCUAAAGAAUAAGCGAAAGCAAGUGAAAGUAUAUGUAUAGAGAAAGUACAGCUUUCACUCCAUAUGUAUACCUACUAAUACCUACUAUAUUACCUAUAUGUAUACUAUUUUAUUUUCGACAAAUGGCUUUUUUUUGGUAACUGUAGUUUUUAAUCUAUAUCUAAUAAUAUUUAUGUGCACCUAUAUAUAAUACCAAUAUUAUAUAUGUCUAUUUAUUUAUAAAGAUAAAUUAUAACCGAAAGUAAAAAAGCAAUAAGGGGGGAGAGGGUUGGUGUAACAAUACCCAAAACCCCUCUUGGCCAAGUUUAAUUAAUUUAAUAUGACUAGAAAAUUAUUUUAAACAUUUUUAUGAUUUUUUUUUACUACGGAUUUAUAACAAUACAUUUAUAAAGUAUAUAACUUUUGAAUAUAUUUUAUGAUUGACUUGUAAUAAAAUAUAUUAUUGAAUUUAUUUCAUUUGUAUACAAUAAUGUCAAUUUUUUUUUAGUUUGAAGAUCAUACUGGCGCUUUGGUGUAUACGUGUACAUAUAUAUAAUAAAAAAUGAUGUAAUACAUUCCUAGGGCCGUAUAAUCGACGACAAGUGGUAACCACUUAAACCACAUUAUAAAGGUUUACUAAAAAAAUCAGUGGCAUCGUUUCAAGUUUUUUUUUUCACACUAUAUGCAAAUAAUUUCAAAAUCAAUAGAAAAAAUAAACUUGACAAUAUAUUAUAACCUUUUAUUUCCAAUAGUCACGACUAUUCGACAAUUAAAAAAAUAAUUUAAAACUGCACACACUAUCGUUGCAAUUCACUUCAAUAUAAUAACAUUUUUACUCGAAAUGUGUUUUAAAUUCUCAACUCAGCAGGAAUUUGUUGGUUUUACUGUGCUAUAUGUUUUUUUUUAUUUUUUUUUUCUGUCUAUAAACUACUCUUCUACUAGAAAUCUUAGUUCAAUUAAAUAAAUGAGACAAGAAAACUUUUUUGUUUCAUUUCGGAACUAUAUGGUUAGCGUUUAUGAUUUUCCAAGCAGAUUUUAUAAUAAUUGGGAAAACUCAGAAAAAAAAAAACAUAAAAGAAAAACUGAACAACUUACGAUGUUAACGAUUUCAUUAUUUAAAACUAUUUGGUUAUGUUUUUUUAUUAGAAAGGUUGACCAUAUUUGCCUCAUUUUGUGUAAAUACAUACAUAGCUUCUGAAUACGAUAACAUUUAAAAAUUGCAUACAAACAGAUAAAUUUUAAAAUAACUCAAAAAACAUUAGAAUGUUUUACCACUUAUAUAUUUAGAUAACAUUCGGUGUAAAAAUUAAGUUUUUGUUUGAUAUUUUUUAUGUGAAUUAUAUAAAAUAAAAAGAAGAGCUGAUACAUUGGAAACAGGUACGCCACUGUUAUAAAUCGAACAUUGGGAAGGCAGGUUACAUAAAAUCCUGUAUUUAAUUUAUGUCUAUAAGCGACGACAAACCAUUGCUAAAAAAAAACAAUUCAGAACGAAGUUCGGUUAUAAAUGCUUUGAAAUGCCGUUAUAUUUACGGUUAUCGUCAAAAUUUAAUAUUAAAACUCUUAUGAAAAAAAUAAAAAUACUAUAUUUACUCAAUUUUUUUUUUUACUACGAUGUUAAAUUUAAAGCAUUUUCGUUUGGUCAAACAACUUUAUCCAUAGAAUACCUACAAAAAAAAAUUACGUAAAAAAUACAUAUUAUUAAAAUCGAUUAUAGAUACUGCAACACGCAUGCAGUAUUUAUAUAUUAUACUUUCGUCGUAUAAAUUCAAGUUAUAAUAUCAAUUUUCUGCAAAUACAAACUGCAUAAUCUGUAAUAUAAAAAAAGUUUCAAUUAAAAAAAUAAAACCCGAUAUCGUGUAAAUACAUUUUUCAUAUUAUCUACAGGUCAUUAACGUGACACGUCCAUCAUUGUUAAUUGCGAUUCAUAAAAAUCAUAACUAUGGGUAUGAUGUACCUAUAAUUUUAUAUUAUUAUAACACACCGGUGUUUUGGAGUGUUUAAGUGGGACGUUUUUUGUGAUUUUAACAUCAUCAUCAUCAUCAUGACUAUACAAAUUCACCGUGAUGAAUAUUAUUAAUAUUAAUUAUUUGAAUGUUUCACACGAUUUCGUGUCUAUGUGUAGUUGUAGUUGCGUUUCUUUAUUAUAGGUACACGUCGUCGCAUAAAUUAUACACUUGUUAUGUAAUAGGUUUAAUAUUUUACAUAUUCAAAUUAAUUUUACGAGUUUAAACGAGUAACUGCCAAUUUUGGAAUCACCUAUAUUAUAUUAGAUAAUUCGAAAUCAAACAAUGUAUGCAACACAAUGAUAGUAUAAUUUUAAGACAACCGUAAUUUUUUAUAUUUUCUAUGUUAGAUUUCUUGAAAAUUGUCAACAUUCUUUUAUUUUUUUUUUAAACGUCUAGUUUUGGACGAACGAACACGGUAAAUUAUACUUUUACUUUUAAGAGUAUCGAUAUAACAUGCAAAUAUUAUUAUUUUCUUUCGAUUUAUAUAAUAACCGAGACAAUACAUACAAUACAUUCUAACAAUACACACAUGGAACUUAUACACAUAAUUAUCAAUUGUUUAAUACAUAAUAUAAUGUAUAGAUAACCCAAUAUCUUAUUAUAAAUGCAUAAAGGGUAUAAAAAAACAUUAUCAAUUUUAAAAAAUAUCGAUAUCUAUGGAGAAAUCGUUUAUAUAUUUUCCCUAGUGGCUAAUUAAUAAUCAUUUAAAUAUAUUCAUAUUUUAUUUUUUUCAUCACCAUUAGAUCAUUUAUCAUCAUCAUAUGAUCUCAAGACUUCCUAUACCUACGUAGUCUAUCAAUAGACUCUUGGGUAAGAAUAAUUGUAGUGGUCACUACUCACUAUCACUGCAUGCAGUUCUCUAAUAAUAAUCUCGGUCUUGGAUAUUUCGCUAGAAUUCUGUCACUUCCAACCUCUUUAUAAACUAUAAAUUAUAAUCCUUAUGAACCUUGCAGUCCAUUCACCAUGUAUUUCGGCAAUUACCUCUUUAUCCCUCUAACCUCCAUCGAAUUGCUGCUCUAAUAGUUACUUUCCUUAUGUUUCGUCUUAUUGCUUGGCGUCGUCUUUGUCUCUUUACAUAACUUGCCAUAUUUUAUUAUAACACCCAAAAGGGCAUAUUGAUUGAUCUAUACACAAUAUACAAUAUACACAUACAAUUAAUUUGAUUUGUUCAAAUAAAUACAUACUAAUAUUAUUAUUAUUAUUACUAUUCAUAUACCUAAUUAAUAUUGGCAAAUUUUCCCCGAAAAUAGAGAAUGGCGCACUAUAUUGUGUUUAUUGUAAAUAGUAUAUACUAUAUACAAUAAUAAUAUAUUUUUUCCUCGAUAUUUUUGAGUACUUUUAGCGGCUCCUUCCAAGUCAAAUAAGCUCAAUCUCGAAUAUUAAAAUCGUUAAUAAAUGGAUUGGAUUGAUACAUUUUUGGUUGAAUUCCACUGGAGGCGUUUAAAAUCUGACAACUAAACCCUCGACAAGGUCAAAACACCAAUAGUAAAUAUCCUGUUAGUUAAAUGCUUAAAUUUAAUAUUUUCAAUAUUUUCAAAAGGAAAUGCAGAGUUUUAUAUACCCUUCAGACUUAUCAAAUAAUCAAAGUAACGGGAACAAAAUAAAAUAUUAAAACGACAACAAUUCGACUAGAAGAAACUUUAUCUCAAGUUCUGCUGCUCACGAGCGUUUUAGAUUUAGAACAUAGCAAAAAAAUGGGUUUACUUUAAGAUGUGAUUUUUUAUUUUUAUGUAUGUAAACAACUUUUCUACCAAACAUGUAGUUGUAAUGUAGUCUUUUUUUUUUUAUAUAUAUAUACGUGAAAAUUCUACAAAUUGUGGCAUUUCAAAACUUGUGUAACCGAGCUUCGCAAAGAACUGUUUUUUUUUUAACAAUAAUGUUUUUCUUUGAAUACAGAUAUACAUUAAAUAAAUAAAGGUAUCCUAUACUUACUUUCCCAACAUUCCAAUUAUAACAGUAUCCCACCACUCAGCAGUAUCAACUCUUUUGUUGUUUGUAUACAUACUUUUUAAAGACAAUUUUUAACCUUCGAUUCCUCUAAAAUCUUAUCUCUGCAAAGUAGAUUCUUCUUCUCUUUUACUUCAACUAUCUAUAAAAUUCUCCCCCGUCAAACCCGCUCUUCUCCGCCGUUCAUACAUUCGUAGUCUUCUUUUAAUUAUUUUCCAAACUUUUCUAUUUUUCGACUUAUGUGUGCUGCUAACCCGUAGACCCUUCAUUUAACCUGUAGUUCUUUUUUUUUGCUUUGCUUAAUUUUAUGACGCUUGUAUUUUUUGGUCUUGUCCUGUAUAUAUUGCUAAAUAAAUAAAUAAAUUCAUAAAAAAUAUUUUAGUGAUUGAUUUUAUUAGAAUAAUUUUAUCAUCACAAUUAUACGUCUUAUACACAAUAUUAUACCGCUACAGUUAUGCAAAAAGUGACCUAGUGUAAAAAAUAAUCUAGUAUAAAAAAAUAUGCUUAAAUACCUUAUUUCAUCUCUUAUACAUAUAUGUACGAAAAACGUGUCCAAAUAGUAUAUCGUUUAGGAACCAUUUAAUACAUAAUAUUUGAUUAUGAUCAAAAUAGUACAAAAAUUAAAUCCUAAUUUUAAAUUUAAAAAAAUAAUUAUUUAUUUUAAAUUUUUAAAUAAUUUAGUAACUUUUCGCAUGGUGGUAACGAUAUACACCAAUAUUUAUAAGAAUGGGACACGGGACAAACCGCAGACUAAUAACCGUCAUAGAAAGUGAUGCGGUUAUAAGCUCUCUGCUGAUAUACUUGUCACUUUUGCGGACUAUACGAUAUAUGACAAUAUAACGUGUACCUAUUUUAUACAAACACCGACUUCUGUGUAUAUAUGGCUAUACAAUAUAGUGUCUACUUAUAAUCUUGUAUGAGUGGCGCGUGCAGUGAUUACUACGAUAAACAACGCGCGUGCGAUUACUGAUUAGUGUGUGUUCGCACAAUAUUUGCAGAUAUUGUGUUUACCGACGUAAACAUAAUAAUAUGUUCUAUACGUACCUACACACAUGGCCACCUUAUAAUAUAUAUGGGCUCAUUACGUCUGACAUUACUUCUAUCAGAGCCGUAACUAGAGAGGGGCGAGGAUUUAUACCCGGGCGGAACAUUUUCAGAGGCGUAUUUGUUUUUAAUAUUUAUUUACUGAUAGAUAAUUCUGUAAUUUAGUAUCUCAGUGAACGUUAUUGGAGAGCGUGUACAUUUUACAUUUUACAAAUAAAAAGGUCUGAAGAGGCGUAUAGUAAUAUUUUUAACUCUGAACUAUUUAUAUAGUUCCGCCACCAAUUGCACUAUAUUUUAUCACGAAUAUAAGAUUACAACACAUUCGAUUAUAUGAAAUUUUAUCAAAUACAUUUAUUUGAAAGGAAUAUGGUAAGUAUUUCAUUAUAGAGUUCAAGUUUUACCUAUGCACGUAUCUAGUGGUAAAGAUCUUGGAACUCUACAUAAGCCGAUAUUUUUAAAUAUAAAUCAGCACUUACUUUGAUAUGGAUAGUCUGCGGUCAAUUGUAGACUAAAAGUUUUUCAUUGUUUUGAUUUAUGAAACUCACGCCCUUACAAAAUUGACAUUAUAAAGUAAAGUCAAAUCAGUCCAGAAGCAAAUUUUUAUCUGGGAUAAUAUCCUACUAUAUUUUUACUGGGUGCAAAUACAUUUUAGAAUAUUUUAAUUUAGGUUUAAUAUUUUAGAGUAUAUUGUUAAUUCAACAACAAUAUUCUCUUAAAAUUCCACCCCUUAGUCAAAUAUAUAUUUGCUGGACAUUGUCUUUUCUAAGCAUAUAGAAUAUAUUAUUAGAACAAUAAAUAGUAGUUAAAAAAUUGACAAUUUGUCUUGUUUAGUUUUAACGACUUGUUCACGUAUUUUUUUUAGUGGAACAAGUUGAGCAGAAUAAGAAAGUAUUUGGAACGUGUAUCAUCACCUUUGUGAGUAAGUAUUUUCAGAUCCUUUUCAUAAGCACUGCCAUUUUCGAAUUUCAAUACCAAUCCUUGACAGUAUUAUAUACUUUUUUUAUGUUAACAUUUUGUACAACCUUCAAGACACGAGAAAAUAAAAUUUUUCUACUCACAUGCCAAAGAAAAGUUUUUCCAGUACGUGCAUUAACAAAUUAUGAUCAAAUAUAAUUUUCGUUGACACAAAAUUACGUAUUAUUUUUUGUAUAAUUUUUUACAGAAAAAACAACUUUUAUACAACUUUCUAAACAUAAGAUAUUGUAUGAUAGAAAUCAGAUACUUAACAUGCAUGUAAGAUAAAAAUCUUACAUGCAUGUUAAGUAUAACUGUGGUAAAUUUUUACCUUACACGAGUGGUCACGGGUUAUAGAAAUAAAUUCACAAAUAUCAUAUUUCCAAGUACGAACGUUGCACCUUUAUUACCAAUCUAAUGAUAAUAGUAAAUAUUAGUACCUGCAUUAAUCAUAUAUGAAAAAUAUUAAAAAUAUUACCAGAGAUGCGAAUUUUCCUAGUUUUAUGAGCUAAAAAUUAAAUGAUUGUUUUCUUUUUAUGCCAUUAAAUUAUGAAAAAUAAACAGACACGGGGCCCCUCUGAUCAUAUAAUUUGCACGAAAUACCCUCCCUUUAGCGCCAUCACUGGUUAUUAUUUUAUACUGAAAAAUUGAGAUUAUAUAAUCCCAAUUUAUUAUCAGCGCGAAUUCGUUUGUUCCACUCAAUUGAACGCCACCGCAGCGUUCACAUAAUAUAAUAACUUAAAAGUAUUCUGGUAUCCGUUUCAGUACCUAUAGGAUACAUUUCCCAUUUGUGAUCAGUGUAAAAUAUAAACUGUGCACAAGUUGAUGUCUUAUUGUAUUACUCUUGUAGUCGUUAAGAUAUCAAUGUAUUUAUGAAGCGUUGUCUCAGUGGUCUUACACGGCACUCGAAAACUAUUCGGACGAUCGGUUUCGCGUGUUGAGCAUUGAAUAGUGUACAAAAUUUUUACUUCGUAUAAUGAGUUAUAAAAAUAAAUUUGAUAAUACUAGUGCAGGAGAAACGCGUUUUUCAAGCAUUCACAUAAGAAAAGCUGUGCUUUCUUUUGUUUGGAUGAUUGUACAAAAUUUGUUUGUCCGUACAAAUUGUACAUAAUACUGUGUCAACGAAAAUUAUAUCUAAUCGAAAUUGGACAAAGCACCAAUAAAAUAACGUUCAAAUACUUAAAAAUUAGAAGUAAUUAAUACUAAUAUAUCUGAACAUUUUUACUAAAAUACUUUAUGACACUGCCUAUUUCUACUAACGAGUAUAAAAUAUAUUUGAUGUUUUUCAGCUGGAUUGCCGAUGCGAAAAGUUAUAACAUUGACUAAAUCACCUAUACAUUAUAUUAUGUUCAGUAAAGAAAAAAAAAAGAAAAAUUGUUGUAAAGUGAUACUUUCAGAACCAUCGCAACUAAAAUAAUGGUACCGGAAACAAAAUAUUAUAAUGUAUAUAUUACAAACGUUAUACGAGUAUAUUAUGAAAAAAGGACGGGCAUACUUUACACGUGGGUGCAGCCACUGUUGUUGGUGAAAAAUUGGUAAGGCAGAUUACAGACGGGAAUUUAAUGUAUAUCUGUAAGCAAAGAUAAACCAUUGCUAACGAAAAAACGAUUUUGAGCCGAGUACAGUU